GCAUUGAUGGUUCAAUGGUAGAAACCUCUCCUUCCAUGCAAGAGACCCAGAUUUGAUUCCUGGCCAAUGCU
rnacentral:tRNA from 1 species